AACGAACGCUGGCGGCAUGCCUAACACAUGCAAGUCGAACGAGACCUUCGGGUCUAGUGGCGCACGGGUGCGUAACGCGUGGGAACCUGCCCUUAGGUUCGGAAUAACUCCCCGAAAGGGGUGCUAAUAUCGGAUAAUGUCCUCGGACCAAAGAUUUAUCGCCUUUGGAUGGGCCCGCGUUGGAUUAGCUAGUUGGUAGGGUAAAAGCCUACCAAGGCGACGAUCCAUAGCUGGUCUGAGAGGAUGAUCAGCCACACUGGGACUGAGACACGGCCCAGACUCCUACGGGAAGCAGCAGUGGGGAAUAUUGGACAAUGGGCGAAAGCCUGAUCCAGCAAUGCCGCGUGAGUGAUGAAGGCCUUAGGGUUGUAAAGCUCUUUUACCCGGGAUGAUAAUGACAGUACCGGAAGAAUAAGCUCCGGCUAACUCCGUG
rnacentral:rRNA from 1 species